CAGCAGCCGCGGGAAUACGAAGGGGGCUAGCGUUGUUCGGAUUUACUGGGCGUAAAGGGUGCGUAGGCGGAUUGUUAAGUCAGGGGUGAAAUGCCGAGGCUCAACCUCGGAACUGCCUUUGAUACUGGCGAUCUUGAGUCCGGGAGAGGUGAGUGGAACUGCGAGUGUAGAGGUGAAAUUCGUAGAUAUUCGCAAGAACACCAGUGGCGAAGGCGGCUCACUGGCCCGGAACUGACGCUGAGGCACGACAGCGUGGGGAGCAAACAGGAUUAGAUACCCGUGUAGUCCCUGUCUCUUAUAC
rnacentral:rRNA from 1 species